rnacentral:lncRNA from 1 species
UUUUAUAACAAAAAAUAAAAAUUUGCUUAUCUGUUUUUAUUUACUGCAUUUUUGUGUUCUUUUUAAUUAAGUUUAAUAAAAUAAUCUUUAAUAACUAACAAAUUUAGUGUAGAAAAUGUACUUCUAAAUCAAGUCUGCGCGCUGCAAUGAUUAAGUUUCUGUAUGGCAAAACGACUCGAAGGAUUUGCUUAAUCAUAAUUUAGAUGUCCGAUUAGAUGUGACGGAAAGAAAGUCGUGUUGUACUAAAAAGACUCACAGACUCGCAGACUCGCAUAAUUACUUUGAAUACAUAUGAAAACAAUAUAACAUCUCUAAAAAGCAUCUCUUGAUAACACCAUAUUAUUCCAAAAGUUUUGACUUUAUGCGCUGUGCAUUUUCUGUGAAGAUAAAUGGAAAAUAACUUUUUCGCUAUCAGUGGAUGAAAAAUAAUUCUUUUCUCACGUGUCAUUUCACACAAAAGGAUCAAUAUUUCGACGCAUAGGUAACAAAAAAUAUUGUAUGCGACAUGUACGGAUCAGCUAUUGCCCGCCCGUGCGGGUGGACAUAUCCCGCACUUACGGGAAAUUAGCCCGUACGUUAGCAAAUUCACCGUAUUAGUUACAUAAUAUAAAUAUCUAUUUCCAUUUGAUCGCACGUGAUGAAUCACCUCCACUUGCGAUCAAAUAGAAUUCAGGAAAUUAUAUUACGAUCAAAAUUCGACUUCAGAAUCAUCCGCAACGUUAAGGAUUACAAUCGCCAUCGAGAGAGAAAACAUUUACGUGGUCCAACGAUCGAGAUCUUAAAACCGUUUUUACUCGGCGAUUUCGGCGAGCUCGAGGUUUGGCUGACAGUCCUGUCGAUUUUCACCAGCACGGCCGACGCCUUGCAACGGAUGGUCGUAAAACGCAGAUGUUCUUUUCUUUUUGGUAGCGCGUACUAUAUUUUAUCGGAAAUAAAAUGGAUCACGGCCAAGCGCGAUGCGCAUGCGAGAAGCUGCUGAAGAAAAAUCAUAGCGUUUGUUUUUCGUCUUUAUUAACGACCGUAUCGAUUGCGGUUGAUCUAAAUUGUAAAAUCUAGAACGUGUGCAUUAAUGAAAUUAAACCGAGUACUAUGGCUGCGGAACACUUCUCGGAACACUUAUCGGAAUAAAAACAUUGCAUUUUUAUUCGCACCACGCGUAAAACAAAGUGCGUAAGCGAAACAGAAUAGACGAGAUAAACGCGGGAGGCACGUCUCGCCGGUCAUCUUCAAAAAAUAUCGCGUUAGGACCCGGGAAAUUUUUGUUUUAUUUACCAGGAAGCGGAGGCCACACACCUGGAAACGACGCACAAUGGUGCAUUGUCCGCCCGCGGCGCACGAGCGUCGGGGUUUUAAUCACGGAUGUGCCCGCCUUUGUCAAUUUCCAUAGUUCGAUUCUCCAACUAUCUGCGGCGUGUGUUCGCCCACGGUCUGGGUCGUGCAUCGUACACAUCGGUGCAUCUGGGUAGAACGCACGGUCCCAUCCAGUCGCAUCCGGCCUACAUUGCCGUACGCGCGCGGCGCGUCCAAGGAAAUGCGAGCCACUAAAUGGCCGUGUAACACGCGGAUCUUACGUAACGCUAAUGCAGUGACGAUCGCUCCUCCUCAGAGCGACACGCGACUCUUCCUUGGAACGAUUUACUCGGGCUUGGCAAUAGAAUAUAAAUUUCGCCUUCGAUCUUUGAGCCCGACUUUGAUAAUCAUUUUGCUGAAAAUACGUGAACUGAAAAAGAAAUUCGAGAACAGCGGCGACACUGUUGAAGCUUCAUCGGCCCAUGUAAUAACGGUAUACAUUCCAUGUGCACACACGUCUUUAAUUACCCGAUAAAAUCAGAUGGAGAACAAUGCGCGGCGAUAAGACGUAAUCAUGCGUGUUAACUGAGCUACUUUUAAAUAUAAGUUGAUAAGAAUAGAACUGGAGAUUACUGAUUCUUCGUGCACAUAUAAAGAAUGAUAAACCUCUUUCCAACAUUCCAAAUAUGAUGAUUAGAAAUUACAAAAUAUUUUUCUGAAACGAAACAAGUGACAAAAAUUUAAACAAGUUUUCUACCUCAUUAUGCAGAUUUUAUUAAGGAAAUUUUUAGAAUUUUUUUUAAGUAAUUAAAUAUUUUUCAAAAUUACUUUUCGUUAUUUAUUUAUUACUGUUUAAAAAUUAAUUUUCUGAAUUAAAAAAUAAUUAAGCAAUUCAGAUAAAUUUAAUUUUUAACAGUUCAUUAACCAUAAUUUCGAAUCUCCUAACAAAUUGAAAUUAAAAAUUAAAACAUUUUAAGCUUGAGGCGUUGAGUUAAUCAGAUUACGGCGACUAUAGUCGGAAAUAAAAUGUUUUAUUUUAUUCAAUAAAUAAAUUUGUUUAAGAAGAAAUUAUUUUCACUCUGUUUUCGAGCUCAAUUGUUUCCUAGAAAAAUAUAAAAAAUUAAGUUACAAAGAUAAUUUUAGUUAUAGAUGACUAAAGAUAAAAAUAAUAAAAAAAAAAUUUUUAACUGAAUAAAAAAACUUAAUAAAAAAUCAUGUUUUAGUCCAAUCCUGAAAAAAUUUUUUAUUUGGAUGUAUAUUUUCUUCCAACUUAACGCUAUAUUAGUAUUUUUAAAUUCAGUUUUUGCAUUUAUCCAAAAGAUUUCUGUGUAAAGAUAACUGUAAAUAAUCAACAUGCAAUCUAAGCACUAAUUGUAAGUAGCGGUGGCUAUUAUAAAUAUAUUUGAACCAUUGUUGGAAGCAAGAACAAAAUUUGAAACUAAUGUUUCAACAAACAUAUCUUUUUUAUAUUUAUUUAAUCAUAAAAAAAUUGUGAAUUAACAUAAAAAGAUACAAUAAAAGACUCAUACAAAAACUUUUUAUUCAAUAUUUAUUUAAUAACCAAUAAGUCUUAUCAACUCAACAGUGCAAGAAUGUUUCCGGCAUAAUUAGCAAUUAUAAAUACAAAAAAUAUUAAAUAAUAGCAUAUCGAACGUUUUAUUUAUAAAUGCCAAGAAAAAUAAAUUUUAUGUUUUUCUUUCAGUAUUUUAAUAAAAAAAAUAGUUAUUUUUCGUCCAAAAAAACUGAUUUUUACUCCGAAGCAGCAAAUGCCUGUUUUUUCAUCUCUAGUUUUGACGACAGUCGCAAGUGUUCUGAUUAAAAUAACUUUUGAGUGCUUAAUUUACGUCCAAUGGCGGAAUCAGAAUCACAGUCGAUGAAUCGUGCAGAAGUCAAAUAGAACAAUUGUUCAUAAUUUUUUUUUAAACAAGAAAUCAAUCUUCAAACAAUAACAAAUAAACAAUAAAGAAUAAAUUUGAAAAAUAUUUCAACUUUCGUAAAAAAAAAAAACCCCAAAACAGCGCAGCAAACUAGAAAACUUCACAAAAACCUUCUUUAAUGCGCCUUAUGAAGAAAGCUUGCGAUUUCCGCAAUGUCUCGCUGUAAAAUGUUCUACCACAUUUGCUAAAAUAUUGCAGAACCCAAACUUCUCGGGAAAGUUUCGAGACAACAACCGUUUCGACAACAACGUCAAUGACAAAUUUGCUCGAAAUUCGUGAGAAAAGUUCUCUUAAUUUGCUACCAAGUUUUGCUAUUCGGAGUACACGCAUGUGUAUUCGUGCACAGUGUCAGGUGUUACAAUUCGCAGCUCUCCCACAUCAGGUUACCCGAAAAGUUUGAAGGAGGACCCAGAGUCUGAUUCUCAACAAGAGUUCGUUCGGGGUAAAUGCGAGUUGCUGCGAAAACGGAGGAGGCGGAACUCGAUGUUACGAGAACGAAGCCGUAAGAUCGCGCGUGAGAGACGACGAAGGAAGGCGGAAGAGGGGGUGCCACCCUACGCACUGGCAUACAUCUCGAUCGAUAUCAACGGGUCGCAGGUACAUCGAGAGAAAAAAAAAUUGCGGUAACCACAGUAUUUUGUAUCACUAUAAUUUAUAGUCAUUUUUCCACUCAAUCGUAUUUUUAUAUUCAACAAUAUAAAUUGUAGUUUGUUUAAACUAUAUUGAAGACCUGUGUGAACCUAGCACCCGACUUUUUAAAAAUUAAUUUUUCUUUAUGAAAUACGUUAGCAUUUC